GAAAACCACACUUUAGCGUCUCAGCAGUACAGGUGAUUCAGUGCUCACAUCACUUCCUCGUUUCUACAUCUAUACCUUCUGCUCUAAGACCAUGAGCAGCUAAAGACAGAAUUUUUUUAACAGAGAAGAUUAGAAGUUUCAGAAAAGCUCCUCCACUAUGAACUGGCUGUUUUUCGCUGUCCUUGUUAGUGCUGCUCUAGCAGUAAAAAUAUGUGAAAAAGAUGGAGAUAAAGUAUCAGAUGGAUGUGAGGUAGACGUCCUGAGCUGUGCAAAUGGCAGGGGUUGCUGCCGAAGGAUGUGUCAUAAAAAUGAGCGUCGUAUAACUGGUCUUGGAUGCCCCCCAUUUUACUGGUGCUGUGGAUCGAGGUAAUGUUAACAUGGAGUAUACAGUGAUCUAUCAAAUGGCUAAAUGAACUGAACGCAGAAUAUCGCAGAAUAUAUGCAGUCUCUAUGCUGCCAAUACAUGUGUUUUCUAAUGAAAUAUAUGCUCUUUGUCUUCUCAUUUCUAAAAAAGAAAAAAUAGUUCUUCAGUGUAAACUCACAGCAUAAAAUAAAAUUAUUUCCAUUAAUCCAUGUUAAUGACCUGGAAAAUAUGAUAUCAAUUCUUGCCUCGUUAAUUUUGCUGAACAAGAAUAUGUUCAAUGCAUAUGAAGUACAUUCUGAUGUCUAAUAAAAUGUAACUUUCUACCUCCUGAUACCUUAAUGCAAUUUUAUUUAUCUUUUUCCAGUAAAUAAACAAGUCUAGUAUUUCCUA